GUUAAGUCAACCACGUCUUUCCCCAGUUCCCACCUUAGUAUUGUCAAUGUGAACCAGGCGCGAAGCAUCAGUCUUGUUCAAACAGUAAACAGAAUUGAACAACAAUCGAUGUAUUAAUUGCGGUUUACUCACUCUUGAAAAUGGAAGAAUCAAGAAUGUCCUUUCUCUUUCUUCUUUGCCUUAAACGGCGUUAUCACAACGAAAGUCUUUGCUUUAAGUGACUGCUCAAGAAAGUAGGAAGCUUCUUUGCAAGUUCCUUUUCAUUUAUUGUUUUUCUUCUCAACCUCAAAAAAAAUUUAUUCUUUAUCAGCUUCUCGCGCUGCACGCCAGAGGGUCUACAGUAGUGCUAUUUUUAUCCCAAGAAAGUGAGAGAAUUUCCUAAAAAAUGGGUGAGAGAUUUCCAUUUUCCAAAUUAACCGAACCCUUGAAUUGUUUCCCAUAUUUGUUUGUGUCUCACUAAUAGUUCUGCAAGAUUCAGAGUGAAAUUGUUGUUCAAGGAGAUGGCAGCUUUACUUCUCGCUUCAUCUGCUGCAGGAGCUGGGUUGGAGAUAGUUUUUGGAAGUUUUCUGAGAGCUAUUUUGGAGGUGAGGAGGAGCAACGCCAUGUUUGCUCCUACCUUGAAGCAACUGGAAGACACUAUGGAGUCUAUGAGACCAAGCAUCAAGAGAAUCGAAACAUUUAACAGAGAUUUCGAUCGGCCAGAUGAAAUUAAAGGGCUACAGGAUUUGAUGAAAAAGGGUGAGGAUUUAGUUCGCAAAUGCUCAAAAAUCCAUCGAUACAACUAUGUCAAGAAGCCUUUGUAUACCAAGAAACUUGUUAAGUUCGAUGAGUCUAUUCGUAGGUAUAUUAGUGCCAUUUUGCUACUGCAUUCAACAUCAGAUGUAAAGGAGAAUUUGUAUGAGACGAGACUGCUAAGUGCCCAGAUUAGGAACUUAAGCAUGGGGGCAUCCAGUGCUGGGGUGUCCAGUGGUGGUGGUUCCAUUAAGUAUGGUUUUGUGGGUGUGUGCUCGCCUCCUGGACUCAAGGUGGUUCCGGUUGGGUUAGAGAAUCCCAUGAAGGAUUUGAAAGAAAAGCUGCUCAAGGGUGAUGAGGUCUCACAAGUGAUUGUAGUAUCUGCUCCUGGAGGAUGUGGAAAGACCACAUUGGCUACAGCACUUUGUCAAGAUGCUAAUAUUAAGGACAAAUAUAAGGGCAAUAUUUUCUUUGUUACUGUCUCAAAAUCGCCGGACGUGCUGGUUAUUGUAGAGAGGUUAUUUCAGCAUAUGGAUUCCAACACUGGUUUUCAAAGUGCAGAAGAUGCAGUUAACCAAUUGGAAAAUUUGUUCAGGUCCAGGGGCCCAGAACCUAUACUGCUGGUCCUUGAUGAUGUUUGGUCUGGAGCAGAAUUUCUAGUUGAGAAGCUCAAGUUUCCAAUAACAGAUUACAAGAUUUUAGUAACAUCAAGGUUUGAAUUUCCACGCUUCGGUCCCAGUUAUAAAUUGAAAACACUAAAUAAUGAAGAUGCUAUGACGCUUUUCUGUCGCCUAGCAUUCCUGCCAGAUGGGAACUCAUACAGACCAGAUCAAGAUGUUGUGAAUAAGGUGCUUCAUUAAUCUGUAGUUAUGGACAAGCAUAUUUGCUUAUUUUUGUUUGAUAUUUCACUAUUUUUGUGCAGCAUUCCUACAAGCAAAGAAAAUUUUUCACUUUUAGAAAACGAAAAAUGUUACCACUUUUGUACUUUUACCAUAUAUAACUAGCUGUUGCUGCCCAUACAACAUGCAAAGAGCAAUUGAUUUAACUAUUGGCAAUGAAUAACAGAUAGUGGAAGUCUGUAAGGGAUUCCCACUAGCCAUUUCAGUGGUUGGCAAAUCACUAUGUGGGAAGUCUGCAGCAGAAUGGAGGAAGAGAAUUAAGGAAUGCUCUAAAGCUUCUUCUGUUCUUGCUAACUUUGAGUUUGAGCUGCUUCAUUGUCUUCAAAGCAGCGUUGAUGCCUUGAAGAAUAAUACUUCAGCCAAGGAGUGUUACAUGGACCUAGGUUCCUUUCCUGAAGACCAAAAAAUUCCUGCCUCUACCCUUAUGGAUAUGUGGAUGGAAUGGCAUAAGCUUGAAGAAGAUGACGCCAUUGCUAAUCUCUAUGAACUCUCUGAACGAAAUCUGAUUGAUCUUGUAGUUACAAGGAAAGAUGCAAGUGAAGACUAUGGCUCUAUUAUCGUGCUGCAGCAUGAUUUACUAAGAGAGUUGGCUAUCAUUCAAAGCAGCUCAGGAAGCAUUGAGCACAGAAAGAGGCUAUUUGUAGAUGUAAGUGGUAACAAUUUCCCAGAAUGGUGGGCUCAACAAAGACAACUAUUUAUCAGGGCCAACCUUUUAUCUAUUUGCACAGAUAAUAUGUUCUCAUCAAGUUGGUGCAACAUCGCAGCACCUGAAGUUGAGGUUUUAGUUUUAAAUUUUCAGACAAAGAAUUACACCUUACCCUGGUUCAUGGGAGGCAUGGAUAAGCUAAAGGUUCUAAUCAUUGCAAAUUAUGGUUUCUUUCCUGCUGAAUUGAGCAAUUUCCAGCAUGUUGGUUCUUUAUCAAAUCUAAAGAGAAUCAGAUUGGAAAAGGUUUCACUUCCAUCCAGCUUCUUGGGCUCUGUACAAUUGGAGAAGCUAGAAAAGAUAUCCUUGGUUAUGUGUAGUAUUGGUCAAGCUUUCAGCAACUCUGCUAUCUGGAUGCCAAAUGUAGUGGAGAUCAACAUUGACUACUGCAAUGAUUUGGUGGAAUUACCUAAUGGAUUCUGUGAUCUUGUCCGGCUGAAAAAGCUCAGCAUCACCAAUUGUCACAGACUGUCAGCAUUGCCAGAAGACUUGGGGAAUUUGGAGAAUUUGGAGGUGCUAAGACUUAACUGCAUUGAAUUGUUAGAGUUGCCAGACACGAUCGGGAGGCUUCAUAAGUUGAGGAUUCUUGACAUAUCUGAAUGUUUAAGCAUAACAAAAUUGCCAGAAGAGAUCAGUGAGUUGAAUAGUUUAAGAAAGCUCUGCAUGAUUGACUGCUCAAGUUGUGAAUUGCCAUGGUCAGUUGUGAACCUUGUCCACCUAAUGGAAGUUAUAGGUGAUGAAGAAACAGCCAAUUCAUGGAAAGCUUUUGAGGCUUUCCUUCCAAAUCUGGCAAUAAAGGUGCAUAAAGAUGUCAACUUAGACUGGCUACGCUAGUCAUUGUUUUCUGAUAAUGAUUAUUCUCCGCUAAUGUUGAUGCGUCUCUAAUUUUGAAAUUACAUCAGAUUUUUAAAAAAUAAUAAAAUUAGCAAAAUUUUAAUAUAGGUUUUAACAAUUUAAACACAUUGUUGUUUUGAUAUAAAAAAAAAA
rnacentral:misc_RNA from 1 species